rnacentral:rRNA from 1 species
CCUACGGGGGGCAGCAGUGGGGAAUAUUGCACAAUGGGGGAAACCCUGAUGCAGCGACGCCGCGUGAGUGAAGAAGUAAUUCGUUAUGUAAAGCUCUAUCAGCAGGGAAGAAAAUGACGGUACCUGAGUAAGAAGCCCCGGCUAACUACGUGCCAGCAGCCGCGGUAAUACGUAGGGGGCAAGCGUUAUCCGGAUUUACUGGGUGGAAAGGGAGCGUAGACGGCAGUGCAAGUCUGGAGUGAAAGGCGGGGGCUCAACCCCCGGACUGCUUUGGAAACUGUACGGCUGGAGUGCAGGAGAGGUAAGUGGAAUUCCUAGUGUAGCGGUGAAAUGCGUAGAUAUUAGGAGGAACACCAGUGGCGAAGGCGGCUUACUGGACUGUAACUGACGUUGAGGCUCGAAAGCGUGGGGAGCAAACAGGAUUAGAUACCCCAGUAGUC